AGCUAUAGGUAACCUGUCCUCAGCUAUAGGUAACCUGUCCUCAGCUAUAGGUAACCUGUCCUCAGCUAUAGGUAACCUGUCCUCAGCUAUAGGUAACCUGUCCUCAGCUAUAGGUAACCUGUCCUCAGCUAUAGGUAAGCUGUCCUCAGCUAUAGGUAACCUGUCCUCAGCUAUAGGUAACCUGUCCUCAGCUAUAGGUAACCUGUCCUCAGCUAUAGGUAAGCUGUCCUCAGCUAUAGGUAACCUGUCCUCAGCUAUAGGUAAGCUGUCCUCAGCUAUAGGUAAGCUGUCCUCAGCUAUAGGUAACCUGUCCUCAGCUAUAGGUAACCUGUCCUCAGCUAUAGGUAACCUGUCCUCAGCUAUAGGUAACCUGUCCUCAGCUAUAGGUAACCUGUCCUCAGCUAUAGGUAACCUGUCCUCAGCUAUAGGUAACCUGUCCUCAGCUAUAGGUAACCUGUCCUCAGCUAUAGGUAACCUGUCCUCAGCUAUAGGUAAGCUGUCCUCAGCUAUAGGUAACCUGUCCUCAGCUAUAGGUAACCUGUCCUCAGCUAU